AUCCAGACUCCUACGGGAGGCAGCAGUGGGGAAUAUUGCACAAUGGGGGAAACCCUGAUGCAGCGACGCCGCGUGAGUGAAGAAGUAAUUCGUUAUGUAAAGCUCUAUCAGCAGGGAAGAAGAUGACGGUACCUGAGUAAGAAGCCCCGGCUAACUACGUGCCAGCAGCCGCGGUAAUACGUAGGGGGCAAGCGUUAUCCGGAUUUACUGGGUGUAAAGGGAGCGUAGACGGUCCUGCAAGCCAGAUGUGAAAGCCCGGGGCUCAACCCCGGGACUGCAUUUGGAACUGGAAGGCUAGAGUGUCGGAGAGGCAGGCGGAAUUCCUGGUGUAGCGGUGAAAUGCGUAGAUAUUAGGAGGAACACCAGUGGCGGAGGCGGCCUGCUGGACGAUGACUGACGUGGAGGCUCGAAAGCGUGGGGAGCAAACAGGAUUAGAUCCCCCUGUA
rnacentral:rRNA from 1 species